UACGUAGGGUGCAAGCGUUGUCCGGAAUUAUUGGGCGUAAAGAGCUCGUAGGCGGUUUGUUGCGUCGGCUGUGAAAUCCCGAGGCUCAACCUCGGGUCUGCAGUCGAUACGAGCAAACUAGAGUGUUGCAGGGGAGACUGGAAUUCCUGGUGUAGCGGUGAAAUGCGCAGAUAUCAGGAGGAACACCGGUGGCGAAGGCGGGUCUCUGGGCCACUACUGACGCUGAGGAACGAAAGCUAGGGUAGCGAAAGGG
rnacentral:rRNA from 1 species